GUUAGCUCAGAUGGUUAGAGCAUGAUGCUGAUGACUCUAAGGUCAUGGGUUCGAUCCCCAUAUGAGUCA